rnacentral:lncRNA from 1 species
CACCCCUAACAGCUUAAGAAAAGGUUAGGGGCAUUUCAAUGAAUGUUUAAGUAACCCUUGCAGUUUCUCUAAGAGAAGAGGAAACAGCACUGACGUGUUUGCAUGGCUCACUGACUUUUGGACUAGCAGGUAGAAGCCUUGCAAUCACCUGCCUUUGGCUUUCAGAACUCUGAUGCUGCUUCUUUAAAAGCUAUCCAUUUCCACAGCCAGCCUGCUGCAGCUGCUGAACGUCACCAAGCAGCAUGAAUGAAUGCAAAGACUGGGAGGGCACAAAUUUCAAACAUACUUGGCUAGGUAGCUCUCUUUUUUUGCACACAACCAUUCCAGAUGCUCUGAGCACCGAGACUUCGGCUGGUUCUUUGAGUCCACAAAGGUCCUUUAGAUGCGUCAGCAAGCCUUUUCAGAUCGUAGGAUUUCCCCAGGCAAAAAACUUCAUCAGCUGGAUUUCACUGAAAUCAGGCAUGCUUACUCCCUUACUUAACAAACAUUGCCUAAUUUAUCUUCUUCUGCACUACAUUUCAGGAAUAUCUGUGCUUCUCCAUUGAACAGGUAAUUGCUUGGAUCUCUGGGUGUCUUCCCAAACAAUCCAAAUAACAAACUUAAAUGCAUGAAGUGAAUAGAUUAGGAAGAAGGAAAUGUUUCUCUGCACUAGGACUGCAAACUAGACAGACUUACUUGAAAUUCUCAUUAUUGUGAAUGGGCUUUAUGUCUCAGAAAACAUUUAUACGAUUGGUCUCCAUGAGUUCUACAUGACAAGUAAGUGUACUGAAUAGAUAGCCCAGGAGUUGUUGUCUAUGAAUACUCUGAUUUAGUUGCCCUAACUUGGGUUGCAAAUGUGUUCCUAGGCAGUUACAAACUGUCAGGGUUGUUUUAAGGGCAGGGACUCUUAGGAAUAUACGGUAGGUCUCAUACCACUAGAAGAAACAAGCAUAUACUGGGAAAUCCUGUGCUCGCUGUAUCUGGUGGGAAGUAGCUGUCAGUGU